CUGAGAAUGCUAUAACCGUAUAAGCUUAUCCAGCUUAAAUAUUCAAGCAAGGAAGGGUUUGAAGCUGCACCAAGACUUCCUCAAAUGAGGCCCUUUUAUGUAAAAGACGGUUUUAAGCCAAAAGCCAUUAACGAGGUAAGCAGCAGGACUAACAAUGGAGAACUCUUAUAAGCUAAGCUUAAAGCUUGUCUCUUAUGAGCUACGGGGUUAAUAAUCCGUGUUGGCCAGCGACUUGCAAUCUACUGAAUGUGAAAUGAAAAGAAAAACUCCUCUACCAAAAAUGGCUUGCAGUAUUUAUAGUUGUAGGAAGAAGUGG
rnacentral:misc_RNA from 1 species